rnacentral:rRNA from 1 species
GACAGCAGUCGCCGCGGUAAUACGAACCGUGCGAACGUUAUUCGGAAUCACUGGGCUUAAAGCGUGCGUAGGUGGUGGUUUAAGUCCGUUGUGAAAGCCCUGGGCUCAACCUGGGAAUUGCAGUGGAUACUGGAUCACUAGAGUGUGGUAGAGGAUAGUGGAAUUUCCGGUGUAGCAGUGAAAUGCGUAGAGAUCGGAAGGAACAUCUGUGGCGAAGGCGACUAUCUGGGCCAACACUGACACUGAGGCACGAAAGCGUGGGGAGCAAACAGGAUUAGAUACCCGGGUAGUCCCUGUCUCUUAUAC